rnacentral:tRNA from 1 species
UAAUGAGUAGUUUAAAGUGGUAGAACGAUAGGUUGUGGUCCUAUAGAUAGAGUUAUUGCUCUCAUUAA